AAAAGCAGAAGCCAGUAUCAUGGAUCAGCUGAGUAGCUCUGAUAGUUCAUCUGACUCGAAAAGUUCUUCGUCCUCUUCCUCAAGUAGUGAAAAUAGUUCUAGUGAUUCUGAAGACGAGGAAAUGAAGCCCUCUCUUCCGAUGUCGAUGCCGUAUCUGCAGCCACAGCCUACUGUGUCUGCCAUCCCACAACAGGCUACCCCUGACAAAGAUGCCAGUCAUAACAGAUCCCAAGAGAGCAGUGGUCAUAUGAUGAAUACACUACGAAAUGACUUGCAGCUGAGUGAAUCUGGAAGCGAUAGUGAUGACUAAACAAAUUUUUGGCCUUAAGUGUAUCACCUUUUUUGCUAAAUAUGUCUUAGCAUCUGUUUUGCACUAAGAUUAGAUUACCAGAGACUGGAAUGAAUGUCCUCGAUUUUUGAUAAUAGACAUCCUAAUUUUCUACUGACACAUCAUGUCUAUAAUACGGCAGCAUUGAUAUCCUGUCAGUGCUAGGGUUAUGUGUUUAUCUUUCAAAUUACUGUAUUUACAGUAAAAUUGUGUAUGAUCUGAUUUUGAUUAUUUUUUUGCCUCAGCCACCUGUUUUACUUGAAACUGAUUUGUAACAGCUAGUUACUUUAUAUAAAUAGUUAUGGAAUGGAGAAAUUUCUGAUAUUUAUGGAGGCAAGUUUCCUUCCUAUCAUUCAAAGGCUGAAUGCUGAUCUCACAACUUUUACUCGGAGGGAGUGAAAGGGAGAACAACUAAAUGAGGUCUGCUGUGUCAGCCACGCUUUUUGUUCAGUUCACAGUUCGUACCUUUAAGGAAACUGCUGAAUAAUGUGGUCCACUAGUGCAGUUACAGUUUACAAUUGUUCAACACAUUGCUGAAUUCUUAAUUUCAUUGUAUUAUAGGACUCUAUAUUUCUGAGCCUCAAGAUUCCUAAGGGAACUUGUCUUUUCUCUGCCUUUUUUAUGUAACUUGAAUAGGCUGGUCUUUUUACAACCUUUUUGUAUCUAAAUUUAGGUAACUGCAGAGACAGCAAUGAAUUUCUUUCAUUUAAUUCUGUAACAGAAAUCAGAAAUUUUCUUUGUAGGAGUAUAAAAGUAAUUUAAUAAAGCAAUAUUUAUCAUU